GCCCCUGUGGCGCAAUCGGUAGCGCGUAAGACUUCUACUGGGUGAUCUUAAGGCUGUGGGUUCGAUCCCCACCAGGGGCU
rfam:Aspergillus brasiliensis CBS 101740 unplaced genomic scaffold ASPBRscaffold_4, whole genome shotgun sequence.